UGAAGAAGUAAAGAGGUCAGCCAGCCUCCUCCCACUCCAGACCUCUGGGAUACUUAAAGUCUUUUAAAAGUGCCGACAACAAGCAAAGAAAGUCACGGAAAGAAACCAGAGUGACAACUCAGCCCGAGUGCCAAAGUUACUUGAGAGCUGCUCUGGGAACAGUGAAGCCAAACCAACUCCGAGUUCAAUCUGAUCCAAGUUCAGAUGGACAGAGCCUGGCAUCCAUGGGGCAAGCAGUGGUGCCCGAUUCAUCGUCAGAUAAAGUGAGCUCAGAUGCCACCGUGUUCCUGAUGUAGCUGUCACAUGAUGCCUCUGAGUCGUACUUUUUCCAUCUGCUUAAUGGGCAUGUUGAUCCUGGUGUGUGUAUUUCUAGACUUGCUGUGAGGCUGGCGGGAGGCCACUUGGAAGGGAAAGUCUUUGUGAUCUACACAGUGGGGGUCGUCAUUAAGGAAGAGCCUCAGGAAUUGCAGCCACAAGGACAGUGCCAUUCCUAAGGUAAAUCACGGGAAGAAGAAGCCUCUUAACCCCACCUCCUACAGCAGCGAGCAUUAACUCCUCCCCAGUGGCAAUUCCCCAGGCCUCUCUCCUCAUGAAGCCCAAGGAUCAAUGAAGUAACUCUUACAUUCUCCAGCACCCACAUGGUCCAGUCUCGAGCCAUUGUGCAGCUGGAGAAGCACAGUCCAGUGUGUUUUUCUUCUGUUUCCCCAGCACUCUGAAGGAGAGCCCAACACCA
rnacentral:lncRNA from 10 species